rnacentral:lncRNA from 1 species
GUUUUGAGCCUUUAGAAACCCAAAUUUCGUCCAAAUUGUGUUUAGAGCUCAAAACUGCCUAGUUUGUGUUUUUAGGCAGUUUUGAGUGUUUUUAGCUUGUUUUGAGUCUUUUCAGUUUGUUUUGAGUCUUUUGAGUCUAGUUAAGUGUUUUAAAGCUUAGUUUUAUCUAUUUGAGUCAGUUUAGAGUGUUUAGCAAUCCCUCCUAAUCCCCGGUUUAAGAACGAUCCCUACUUAUACAUAUACUACAAUUGUCAACAAGAGGGUUUAAUUUGUGUGUUUAGUUAUUUUACGCAUCAGGAAACCCUGAAGAUUAGCAAACAAUAAUCAUAAUCAAAGGGAGAAUUGAAAUGUAGUUUCAAUUCACAAUCGAUCGUUAAGAGUAACAAUCGCCCACUGCCUCGCUAAUUGGAACCUAAUGGAUCGUACACCGAGUAAGGGUGAAAGUGAAGAAAUAUAAAUGAGAUGGAUAAGCGAUUAAAUGGUUUAAUUGAGAAUGGUCAAGAUUAAUUAA